rnacentral:misc_RNA from 1 species
CGGCGUAUCUGGACAUCGCUUUUGCGUGUGGAUCGCGUCAACGCGUUUCUGUUUUACAGGUUUCUGUCUGCAGGUUCUUAUGGCCAACGAAGCCUUCGCCUUGUCGCCGAUCUCAGCCCGCGCCGCGUCACCGACGGACGCGGACUUCGAGGCUAUUCGCGAGGCGUUUCUGGAGACCGCGCGCGGCCGCUGGUUUCUGGACGAGUACACCAAGCGCAACCGCAACGCCGACACCGCGAUGGUGCUCGAGGCUGUCGCCCGUAUCGAAAGCUCGCUUGCUGCCCAGAAAGAAGAACAG